CACGUAGGGGGCAAGCGUUGUCCGGAUUUAUUGGGCGUAAAGAGCUCGUAGGCGGCCUGUCGCGUCGGAUGUGAAAGCCCGGGGCUUAACCCCGGGUCUGCAUUCGAUACGGGCAGGCUAGAGUGUGGUAGGGGAGAUCGGAAUUCCUGGUGUAGCGGUGAAAUGCGCAGAUAUCAGGAGGAACACCGGUGGCGAAGGCGGAUCUCUGGGCCAUUACUGACGCUGAGGAGCGAAAGCGUGGGGAGCGAACAGG
rnacentral:rRNA from 1 species